GAUAAAGUCUUGCCUUUACUCAAUGAUGUUAACCAUAUGCUUAGCUCUGUUCUUGUAAUAUAUAUAGAACCAGGUCCUAAAGAAGCCUGUUUGCUGUGAGGGGUACUUUAAGAGUUUCUUUUGUCUGAAGCUUUCUAUAGGAGGAGGACAAAUGACUGCUUUGUGGAGCCCGAGUGCUUGAAGUUGAGUGCAAUCAAACUGCAGAUAUGGCUGUACAAGAGAAAGGUAUCCAGAUAUACUACAUGUGCAACAACCUCUCAAAAAACCUAAAAUUCAGACAUUUAAACUGAGAUGCCCAAAGAUACAUCAAGCCUGGGGUUAUCAGCCUCCUGAAUGAAUCAAGAGAGUCUCUCCCAGAGACUGCUCCUGAUCUGUAACGUCGCAUUGGAUGAACACCGUCCUCUGCGCUUCAAACUGCUCGUCCAGGGCCGCCUUGCUCUCCUGCCCAGCCUCGGAGUUGCGGUCCAGCAGGGCCACCUGAGCGAGGACGGAGGGACAGGCUGAGCGGCGGGUGGGCAGACGGACGGGUGCCGCGCCGAGGAGAGCCCGGGGGCUGCCGCCGCCCCGCACCCGCAGGUGCCAGGCAGAGGGGCGAGGCGGGAGGCGGAGGGGAGGGCAGGGGCUCCUCCCGGGGCUUACCUUCGCGCCCUUGCCCAGCAGCGCCUGGACGAAAGCCCGGCCGAUGCCCUGCGCCCCGCCGGUGACCAGAGCCACCUUCCCAUUGACGUGCAUGGCCGCCGCCGCCGGCCCCGCGCCCGCCGAGCUGGAACCAACCUAGCGCGGUGUCACCUGCCCGGUUUCUUCCCUCCUUCGCUCGCUCGCUCACUCGCUCCCUCCCUCCUGCCCUCCCUCUUUCCCUCCUCCUCCUCCUGUCGCCGCCGCGGCGGCUCAUUCCCCACCGCUCCCCUCUCGUGUGACCGAAAGCAGCCUGGGCGGGGGGAGUAGGGGUGGAGUAGGUCAUUAAAUCGUUCUCCCGAGUGCCUGGAUCACCCCCAGAGUCGAAGGGCCAGAGAGGGGAUCAACUUCAACCCCUCUUCAGUCCCCGGGCUUCCAGCGACGACCGGCUCCCGCUCGGCGGUCCCAGGGCAGGGGUCUGAGGCACCCGCCGCUCAUCUCGGCGCGAGGGAAGAGCCUUUGCACCUCCAUAAAUCGCGUGAGAAGCGGCUACGAGCUCUGAUAAGGGCUCUUGGCAGCUUCUAAGGCCGUGUGCGUUUUGGUUGGCCCAAGUUGUGUCAGCAGCGGGGUGAGGAAUUGAAAGAAAGUUCAGCCUCGGAAAAAAAACAAACAUAGCACCUUUUUUUCACACUUCACAAUACCCUACUAGCCUUCUCCCUUUCAUUGUGUCAGUAAGUAGAAUUUGUUUGUAUAAAAAACCCAGCCGUUAAAAGUUAUUGAUAUUAGACAUAUUGAGACAAGUACUUUCUAGACGUUUUCAGCUCUAUGGCUAACAUAGCUUGUACCUUAAAAAAUAUCUGACCACUGUUGCAGUUUAUAAGCCAAAUUCUGCUACAUUGAUUUAUAUGCAACUAAAAUUUAUCAAUGCUGAGAUAUAACACUGUGCAGUAGAAAUAAGAGCAACCUUAAUGAUUUAAAAGAUUAAAUAAAUUUUCUUGUUUGUUAGCCUGUUAUAAGAUUCACAAAUGGUAUCUCAUAGAAAAUAGUGUUGUGGAGUGUUGAGUAGAUGAGAAAAGCCCAUUGCUCCAAUCUUCAGCUGUAUGAACAUAUGUACAUCAUGUGUGUGUGUGUGUGUAUUAACACACGCUUGUCUUUUGGGUUCUCUGGGGUUUUUUUUGGCUGGUGUACCAGGUUUAAACUUUUUGCUGUGUUUUCAAGGCCCUGAAGUUCUCUGACUCAGACUUCACCUGUAUCGUUACUGCUUGUUGCCAUUUUAACUUGCUUCCAGCAACAGUGUGCCUAUUUUGUCCAUCUCUUAUCUCAGCUGCCUGUUUUCUACUAGGUUGCCUUCCUGUAUGGAAUUCCUUUUUUUUUUUUUUAUAUUACCUGAAAGAAACAAAUUACAUUGUUCCUAACACCAGCAAACUGUUAGACAACCAUUGAGGUAACUAUGUUACCUAAUUGAGUAAAUUGAGUAACACAAGAUCUUAUUAUUAUAACCUUUGUCCUUAAAAAUGUGAACUAAUACAAUCCAGCUGCUAAAUUGGACUGCAGCCAUUUAGUUUUCCUAAAGAUCAUGAUUCACUUCAUAAAAGCAGUCAGAGCUGGCCUCUGGGAUUAGUGAUUUGUUUGAAUAUGAUCUCUGUUUCUGUGAGGCCUCCAGAUUGCUUUGGAGCUGUGAAAUUUGUGCCACCUAAAUUGCCAUGCCUAAUGAGCUCUUUCCCAACCAGCUGAGCCAGCUUCCCUGAUUUGUAGAGAGACAAGUAUAGUGCCAGGUCAAAGGCUAUCAUGAGAACAAUAUUACCACACAGGGACCUAACAACAGCCUUACAGUGGAGUCUUCCACCCUCAACCCAACCCUGAAAAGCCCCCUCCCCACCCUGUUUGGCCAAGUCUUGAUCAACAUCUGUCAUAGUCUUUAUUUCUAGGACAUACUAGUAUUUUCUUUAAGUGCUAAGCAAAGAAAAAGAUCAAUAAACUCCUCUGUGUUUCCAAACAGCUAUAGCUGGAAUGACCUUCGGCAGCUGCGCUUUCUAAAUUGUUGGUAACUUGGCAUGAAUGUUACGAACAAUCUCAACUCUUCUGAGAUGCUGGAAUGCUUUAAGAGCUGAGUGCUCUUUGUUUCUGUAAAACAAAUCUUACAAGUUUGUGUCCCAAAGAUCAGUUGGUUGAAUAUAAUGCUGGGUAUGAUAGGUUGAAAUUGUUUAAAAGUAUUGUGAUAAACUAACCCAGCGCUUCUAACUCUGAUUUUAUUGGCUGAAUGGACUCUUUCCAUUAUUCCAUUCAAGAACCUAAAUGACACCUCUUGCAAGAUGGAAAAAAAAAAAACCCAACCAAAAUCCAAAGAAAAAGUCCUCCAUGUCAGUACCCAUGACCUUGGCAAAAUACAUUUGAAAAUAGAGACAGUGUUCCUAGCUAGAACAGUAUGCGCCAAUCCUCCAAAUCCAGGAGGAAGUAAUAGAAGGAUGGCUCUGUGAUUUAUCCCUGGACCCAGCAGAGAUGGCUUGGCUGUUAGGCAUACGUGUGCUCUGCUCCUCCAAGCCACACUGGAUUUGCUACUGACUUACUACAGGUGCUCUUCAGAACUUUGUUGCAACGUAAUCCUUUACCACCACAAGUUUGUAAUAUGACCAACUGCAAAAAAAAAGAAAAUGUUGCCCAUAAGAAAAAGCUCUUUGUAGAACCUUACCUUGUUAAAAAUAUAGAGUCAGCAUCUCAGUCUUCACAAUGAAAUUUGAGGGGUGAGGAGGUGGGGGUGUAGUUAUGAAAUAUUUUUUCUUCGUGAUUCAUAAAUUGACAGUUUUUAAGCCUUUCCUUCAGUUUUCAUAAAAGCUUUCAUAGAAGCAUCUGGACUCCCACUUUGUAAUGUUUCAGUGGUCCAGAUUUUCAGAUAAGCUAUUCUUAAGAAAAAACAGUACUUGACCGCAUAAAAAGUUGGAAGAGCUGUCACAAUGGGCAGUAACAUACUAUAAAGGUUCUAUCUUCCUAAGUGGCCAGCUGACAGAAGACAGAACAUAUGCUUUGGGUACCUUAUUCUGUGUGUAAUAGAAGCUGAUAUGCUCAUUUAAGAAAAUGUGAUAUAGUUAAAACUGAUGCUGCAUUAUUCAAUGGUAGAGUCAAACCAAAUCAUAUCACACUUUAGAUUUUUUUUUCACUGAAAGGUGCUCUAACACUUGCCCAAGAGGUUUAUUAUCCAACCUUGGCAGAAUACAUUUGAAAUUAGCGACAGUGAUCCUAGAUAGACUCAAAAAUAUGACAACUAUUAUCUGAAAUCACAGGCAUGAAAAGAUAUUAAAUGACUCCUUUAAUGUUUGAUUUGGGUGCGUUGAGAGACAAAUAAUGUAGUUUCUGUUCAAAGUUAAGAAAUAACAAUAAUAUUAAAUAAUGUCUUAUAUGCC